GGGGCAUUUGCGUUUUUGUCAUAACCGGGUUGAUGAAACGUUCACUGAUAGUCAAUAAUGGCUAACGAGUUAGUCAUAAAGGUCAACGUGGAACCUUCUCCCGUGGGCGAUGAUGGAGGCACGUUCCACGUCGAAAUGGAAACGGGCCUGAUCGUCGACAGCGACCUGAGGCCCUUCUGGGCGAAGCACCUUCAAAGUACCAGCUUCGCCCACCGUCGUGGGCUGGGACAGCCCUGGUCGCCAGCAGAGUUGGCCACCAUCGAUCUCGCGCGGGACGCUCAUCUGGACAAGCAAGCCAAACGAGGGCAGCCCAGCAGGACAGCCAGAGCCCUGGCCUUUUUGAAGACCGGUCACGCAUGGGACCUGCAAAAGAGGACGGCGCAGAUGUUCAUCUCGCGAAUGAUAUAGGCAGAUGCCCGAGGGCAGUAGGUCAGCCGUGGCGGAGGUCUCCAUCACGGUGUGGGAGUGGUUGACCGCCCUCCCUUGAGAUCGCUCCCGUCCGACAAGCCGGCGAGCGGGAAAGGCUCCCGGCACGGUGUGCCACCGAGGGAGGGUGGUCAGCCACUCCCACGCCGUGGCGCAGACUGCUCCGUCCCUCUGCUACGGCGGGCCCGAAAAUCCCCGGCUGUGCCCCCGAUCCGGCGGCCACGUGGCCGGCUGGAGGCAGGGGGCAGCCAAGGGACCCUCCACUCACCAGCGUGGCGAGCGGAGGCUUCCGGGGAGGGCCACUGGGAAACGGCCUCACCCCGGGGAAACCACACGCCCACCUCUCCCCCUAAGCGGCAGGCCCCAGCCGUUCCCGGUGCAGUGAGUCAAACCAGAAGCAGACAAAACGGUGGCGCGCGCUCUGGCGCGUCACCUCGCAGAGUGCGAGGCACCGGGGCCUUCAGGCCGAUGGCCGACGCGCCGUUCGGCAAGCCAUUUUUUGUGGCGGCGCACCAGUCGGUCGCAGAUGACCUAGACGCCGCAAUGGCCCCAAAAAUUCCGCUGAAGGCCGAUCAGCGCAGCGGACUUAGAGACGCUCGACACCUUGGGAAAAGAAAGGGGAAGAGGUCUAACACUAACGCCAACAGAAAUCAAAGACCAAACCAUCCUGAGGGAUUCCUUGUUUUGCCACUCUGACAGGCAUGAUCUCUUUACAGCGAAAGGGGCCUACGCUCGUACAAAAAUCAGUCGAUCUAGCCGCAGCCUGCUGGCCGGUUUUGAGAAGCGCCUCGGGCUGGCGGUGCCAGACUUCAGAUAUGUCUUGACCUCCCAGGCAAACAGGCGCCGGAUCCGUACCACCCUAUACGAUGCAUAUCAGGAGUCCGCUGACCUCGACGUGGGUAUGACUUGUGCCGUACGUGCUUUUCUAAAGUUCAUACAUCAGCGACUCGCUGAAGUAACAAACGGCGGAGCCUGGAAGGAGAUGCUGGAACUGACGAUCGCCGUGCUAUCGUCCGUCCUGAAGGAGAAUCAGGGCUUGAUGCGACAGCGCCAGUCAGCUCGGAAAGUUAAACACAUGCAUGAGGAGAAGCUGUCCCACGACGAGAGAGUCCUCAUCAGGCGCGAGCUAGAGCGGCACCUGGCCAUUGUCCUUGAAGCCGGCAAAGACUGACUGCCGACCAACCCUGUCGCCCUGCGGCAUGUGGAUGUCAAGGUCCACCAAAUGGUGUAUGUCACAAGCCGCCGAGGCCGACAUCUUGAGCGUUUGCUGAAUACAAAUAAUAUUUGUGUUGUUAA
rnacentral:lncRNA from 1 species